rnacentral:rRNA from 1 species
UACGAAGGGUGCAAACGUUGCUCGGAAUCACUGGGCGUAAAGGGCGCGUAGGCGGGAUGGCAAGUCGGUCGUGAAAUCCUUCGGCUCAACCGAAGAACGUCGGCCGAUACUGCCGUUCUUGAGGGAUGCAGAGGAGAUUGGAUUUCCCGGUGUAGCGGUGAAAUGUGUAGAGAUCGGGAGGAACACCGGUGGCGAAGGCGGGUCUCUGGGCAUCUCCUGACGCUGAGGCGCGAAAGCGUGGGGAGCAAACGGG